CUUGCCAGUCGUUGAUCUAUGCCAUCGACCCCACAAUGCUGGGUUCACGUGACAAGAGGGGAGGAACGGAGAGGAGUAGACAGGAGAAAUACAAGGCGGAGAGGGGGAGAGACAAAGGAGAUGAGAAGAGGAAAGGAGGAGCAGAGAGGAGCUGUCAUGUAUAUGCAAGCAGAAGUCAUGGAAAAUGUCCUUGGAAAGCCCUGGGAAACUGAUUUCCUAAAAAGUGGGAAGCCUACACAUAUGAAGGAGAUGACAUCGAACACAAAAGUGUGUUGCAAGCAUUUCAGAGAGGAUCAUGUUGUUCAGCACAAAGACUCAGGCGAGAUGUUUCUGUGUCCGGGUAGAAUUCAGACAUAAUGGUGUUUAGAAAUAGGCUGUCUCAUAUUGUAAACCAA